AAUAAACUGCCACCGGGCAGGAAAUGCUGAGAGCAUUCGGUUCGCUUCGUUAGGUCUUUGAAGAAGCGUACUGAGUGCAUUUUUUGUU
rnacentral:ncRNA from 1 species